UACAGAGGUCUCAAGCGUUGUUCGGAUUCAUUGGGCGUAAAGGGUGCGUAGGCGGCGCGGUAAGUCGGGUGUGAAAUCUCGGGGCUUAACUCGGAAAGGUCAACUGAUACUGUGCGGCUAGAGUGCAGAAGGGGCAACUGGAAUUCUCGGUGUAGCGGUGAAAUGCGUAGAUAUCGAGAGGAACACCUGCGGCGAAGGCGGGUUGCUGGGCUGACACUGACGCUGAUGCGCGAAAGCCAGGGGAGCGAACGGG
rnacentral:rRNA from 1 species